GGCCAACAAAGUGUGACGAGUCGACCAUUCUUUGGGAUUUGUUUUCAUGCUAAUCCAAUGUGACCAGUUUUAGCGCAAACCCCUAAUUAGCUAAUAACGCUAAUAUUCGGGGCACGCAAAAGUAAAAAGAAAUCACU